UACGGAGGGGGCUAGCGUUGUUCGGAAUUACUGGGCGUAAAGCGCACGUAGGCGGACUUGUAAGUCAGGGGUGAAAUCCCGGGGCUCACCCUCGGAACUGCCUUUGAUACUGCAAGUCUCUAGUCCGGAAGAGGUGAGUGGAAUUCCUAGUGUAGAGGUGAAAUUCGUAGAUAUGCGGAAGAACACCAGUGGCGAAGGCGGCUCACUGGCCCGGUACUGACGCUCAGGCGCGACAGCGUGGGGAGCAAACAGG
rnacentral:rRNA from 1 species